rnacentral:snRNA from 1 species
AUUUUUAACUGCCAGGGGAGUGGUAUUCCCAGGGCAAGGUUUGUCCCUUCCACUCUGGAUGUGCUGACCCUUUGAUUUCCCCAAAUGUGGAAAACUCAAUUGCAUAGUUUGUGGUAGUGGGGGACUGUGUUUGUGCUCUCCCCUG